ACGGGAGGCAGCAGUGGGGAAUAUUGGACAAUUGGGGAAACCCUGAUCCAGCGACGCCGCGUGAGUGAAGAAGUAUUUCGGUAUGUAAAGCUCUAUCAGCAGGGAAGAUGAUGACGGUACCUGACUAAGAAGCCCCGGCUAACUACGUGCCAGCAGCCGCGGUAAUACGUAGGGGGCAAGCGUUAUCCGGAUUUACUGGGUGUAAAGGGAGUGUAGGCGGCCAGACAAGUCAGAUGUGAAAGCCCGGGGCUCAACCCCGGGACUGCAUUUGAAACUGUAGGGCUAGAGUACUGGAGAGGCAAGCGGAAUUCCUAGUGUAGCGGUGAAAUGCGUAGAUAUUAUGAAGAACACCGGUGGCGAAGGCGGCUUACUGGACAGCAACUGACACUGAGGCUCGAAAGCGUGGGGAGCAAACAGGAUUAGAUACCCUGGUA
rnacentral:rRNA from 1 species